rnacentral:sRNA from 1 species
AGAAAACCUGAACUAUGUUUUAGCUUUGUUUUCCACCAUCUAAAUGGCUUGAGUCUGUCCUAAAAUUCCUUUGAGCCUUAAAGUUCUCAUCAUUAAAAUGAAAACAGGAUCGCUGUGAGGGUCAAAUGAGAGAAUGCAGAAUAUUUUGUACACUGCAAAGUGCUGUUCAAAAGUGAGUCAGUUCAACUGUGGUGAUGACCCCCUCCAUCCUCACACCAAAGGAAAAAGGUCCCAGGGCUUUCCAAUGGCCAGCCCAGACACCCACAUGGAGGGGACAGCAAACAUUGAGAAGGAUCGUCUGUUUUUUGUGAUGGAGUUUGUGAAUGGGGGUGACUUGAUGUUCCACAUUCAGAAGUCUCGUCGUUUUGAUGAAGCACGAGCUCGCUUCUAUGCUGCAGAAAUCAUUUCGGCUCUUAUGUUCCUCCAUGAUAAAGGAAUCAUCUAUAGAGAUCUGAAACUGGACAACGUCCUGUUGGACCACGAAGGUCACUGUAAACUGGCAGACUUCGGAAUGUGCAAGGAGGGGAUUUGCAAUGGCGUCACCACGGCCACAUUCUGUGGCACGCCAGACUAUAUCGCUCC